rnacentral:rRNA from 1 species
CCGUAGGUGAACCUGCGGAGGGAUCAUUAAAAAAAGAGUUGCAAGACUCGAAAACCAUCGUGAACAUACCUCUCGUCGUUGCUUCGGCGGGCUGCCCGCCAGGGCGCCCGCCGGAGGACCACCAAAACUCUUUUUUCUUAGCGUAUCUCUGAGUGGACCACAAAAAUGAAUCAAAACUUUCAACAACGGAUCUCUUGGUUCUGGCAUCGAUGAAGAACGCAGCGAAAUGCGAUAAGUAAUGUGAAUUGCAGAAUUCAGUGAAUCAUCGAAUCUUUGAACGCACAUUGCGCCCGCCAGUAUUCUGGCGGGCAUGCCUGUCCGAGCGUCAUUUCAACCCCUCAAGCCCUGCUUGGUGUUGGGGCCCCUACGUGCGCCGUAGGCCCCGAAUUCCAGUGGCGGGCUCGCCGCGAACCCGAGCGUAGUAGCUUUUGCCUCGCUCAGGGCCCGCGGCGGGCGCCUGCCGUGAAAGAAAACACUAUUCUAAAGGUUGACCUCGGAUCAGGUAGGAAUACCCGCUGAACUUAAGCAUAUCAAUAAGCGGAGGA